GGAGUUAGCCGGUGCUUCUUCUGCGAGUAACGUCACAGAUGUAAGGUAUUAACUUACACCCUUUCCUCCUCGCUGAAAGUGCUUUACAACCCGAAGGCCUUCUUCACACACGCGGCAUGGCUGCAUCAGGGUUUCCCCCAUUGUGCAAUAUUCCCCACUGCUGCCUCCCGUAGGAGUCUGGGCCGUGUCUCAGUCCCAGUGUGGCUGAUCAUCCUCUCAGACCAGCUAGGGAUCGUCGACUAGGUGAGCCUUUACCUCACCUACUAGCUAAUCCCACCUGGGCUUAUCCAUCAGCGCAAGGCCCGAAGGUCCCCUGCUUUCCCCCGUAGGGCGUAUGCGGUAUUAGCAGUCGUUUCCAACUGUUAUCCCCCACAAAUGGGCAAAUUCCCAGGCAUUACUCACCCGUCCGCCGCUCGUCAUCUUCAAAAGCAAGCUUUUGAAAUGUUACCGCUCGACUUGCAUGUGUUAGGCCUGCCGCCAGCGUUCAAUCUGAGCCAGAAUCAAACUCUGA
rnacentral:rRNA from 1 species